rnacentral:rRNA from 1 species
UACGUAGGGUGCAAGCGUUAAUCGGAAUACUGGGCGUAAAGCGCGCGCAGGCGGUUUUGUAAGUCUGUCGUGAAAGCCCCGGGCUCAACCUGGGAAUUGCGAUGGAGACUGCAAGGCUUGAAUCUGGCAGAGGGGGGUAGAAUUCCACGUGUAACAGUGAAAUGCGUAGAGAUGUGGAGGAACACCGAUGGCGAAGGCAGCCCCCUGGGUCAAGAUUGACGCUCAUGCACGAAAGCGUGGGGAGCAAACGAGGA